rnacentral:rRNA from 1 species
AACGAACGCUGGCGGCAGGCUUAACACAUGCAAGUCGAGCGCCCCGCAAGGGGAGCGGCAGACGGGUGAGUAACGCGUGGGAAUCUACCCAUCUCUACGGAAUAACGCAUGGAAACGUGUGCUAAUACCGUAUACGUCCUUCGGGAGAAAGAUUUAUCGGAGAUGGAUGAGCCUGCGUUGGAUUAGCUAGUUGGUGGGGUAAAGGCCUACCAAGGCGACGAUCCAUAGCUGGUCUGAGAGGAUGAUCAGCCACACUGGGGCUGAGACACGGCCCAGACUCCUACGGGAGGCGGCAGUGGGGAAUAUUGGACAAUGGGCGCAAGCCUGAUCCAGCCAUGCCGCGUGAGUGAUGAAGGCCCUAGGGUUGUAAAGCUCUUUCACCGGUGAAGAUAAUGACGGUAACCGGAGAAGAAGCCCCGGCUAACUUCGUGCCAGCCGCCGCCGUAACAC